CCUACGGGAGGCAGCAGUGGGGAAUAUUGCACAAUGGGGGGAACCCUGAUGCAGCAACGCCGCGUGGGUGAAGAAGUACUUCGGUAUGUAAAGCCCUGUCAGCAGGGAAGAAAAUGACGGUACCUGACCAAGAAGCCCCGGCUAACUACGUGCCAGCAGCCGCGGUAAUACGUAGGGGGCAAGCGUUAUCCGGAUUUACUGGGUGUAAAGGGAGCGUAGACGGCAAGGCAAGUCGGGAGUGAAAGCCCGUGGCUCAACCACGGGACUGCUUUGGAAACUGUGUUGCUGGAGUGCAGGAGGGGUAAGCGGAAUUCCUAGUGUAGCGGUGAAAUGCGUAGAUAUUAGGAGGAACACCGGUGGCGAAGGCGGCUUACUGGACUGUAACUGACGUUGAGGCUCGAAGGCGUGGGGAGCAAACAGGAUUAGAUACCCGGGGUC
rnacentral:rRNA from 1 species